CUACUUGGCUGCUCUCUUCUUAACAUGGUACUUGUUGGUUUCUUGAAAAUGGCCAUUACAACGAAUUUUGACUAGUAGAGGGUUUUUACAGAGGAAGUUGAGUGUAGUGUGAUGGAUGAAGUGUUGUAAAUUGGAAGCGGACUCCCAGGGAUUGUUCUAUGUAGGGACUUCUGUAUUAUGAGGUGUCUAGCUCCUUCAUUAAAUAAAAUGAAUUACAAAGUUGUGAGGAGUGG
rnacentral:sRNA from 1 species